AACAGGAUUAGAUACCCUGGUAGUCCACGCCGUAAACGAUGUCGACUUGGAGGUUGUUCCCUUGAGGAGUGGCUUCCGGAGCUAACGCGUUAAGUCGACCGCCUGGGGAGUACGGCCGCAAGGUUAAAACUCAAAUGAAUUGACGGGGGCCCGCACAAGCGGUGGAGCAUGUGGUUUAAUUCGAUGCAACGCGAAGAACCUUACCUACUCUUGACAUCCACGGAAUUCGGCAGAGAUGCCUUAGUGCCUUCGGGAACCGUGAGACAGGUGCUGCAUGGCUGUCGUCAGCUCGUGUUGUGAAAUGUUGGGUUAAGUCCCGCAACGAGCGCAACCCUUAUCCUUUGUUGCCAGCGAUUCGGUCGGGAACUCAAAGGAGACUGCCGGUGAUAAACCGGAGGAAGGUGGGGAUGACGUCAAGUCAUCAUGGCCCUUACGAGUAGGGCUACACACGUGCUACAAUGGCGCAUACAAAGAGAAGCGACCUCGCGAGAGCAAGCGGACCUCAUAAAGUGCGUCGUAGUCCGGAUCGGAGUCUGCAACUCGACUCCGUGAAGUCGGAAUCGCUAGUAAUCGUGGAUCAGAAUGCCACGGUGAAUACGUUCCCGGGCCUUGUACACACCGCCCGUCACACCAUGGGAGUGGGUUGCAAAAGAAGUAGGUAGCUUAACCUCCGGGA
rnacentral:rRNA from 2 species